GAUGAACGCUAGCGGCAGGCUUAAUACAUGCAAGUCGAGGGGUAGCAAGAUUGUAGCAAUACAAUUGUUGACGACCGGCAAACGGGUGCGGAACACGUACACAACCUUCCUACAAGUGGGGAAUAGCCCAGAGAAAUUUGGAUUAAUACCCCGUAACAUAGCGAUGUGGCAUCACAUUGCUAUUAUAGCUUCGGCGCUUGUUGAUGGGGGUGCGGCUGAUUAGAUAGUUGGCGGGGUAACGGCCAACCAAGUCUACGAUCAGUUGCUGAUGUGAGAGCAUGAUCAGCCGCACGGGCACUGAGACACGGGCCCGACUCCUACGGGAGGCAGCAGUAAGGAAUAUUGGACAAUGGACGCAAGUCUGAUCCAGCCAUGCCGCGUGAAGGAUUAAGGUCCUCUGGAUUGUAAACUUCUUUUAUAAGGGACGAAAAAAGGUCUUUCUAGAUCGUCUGACGGUACCUUAUGAAUAAGCACCGGCUAACUCCGUGCCAGCAGCCGCAGUAACAC
rnacentral:rRNA from 1 species